UUCUUAGUGUCCUUUAACAGACUCAACUCAGACUGGCAACACAACUAGUUUGCUGACGCUGCUUGAAGAAAAGCCUCUUCAAUCCUGAGAGAACAUGAAGACUGUUAAAAAGUUGCUGUCAGUGUCCUUGUAGAGAAACAUGGAUUCUAUCCUUCUGGUAUAGAAAAGCUGGUACUAGCAAAAGAGAUUCUGUCAUUGUUCCCCUCAGGUGCCCUUUGGUGAAAAUGAGGGACAUGAGAAUGCCAUCACACAGUCGGACGGAAGCUUCAACAGAGCCAGUGGGUGUACAGUUUAAAACAUCAUCAUUGUACACCGCAACCUUCUUCACCAAGUCCAGAUGAAACCGUACCAAGUGAGUUGUUGUCUCUGAUAAAGAAGAUGCGACCAGACAAUUUAUCAUCAAUAAAGACUGCAAUCAAUCAAACCUUCAGUUACAGAAGAAGAUGGAUAACAACAAAAUCCCUUCAAAAUCUCUUGCUGAAAUCUUCAAGGACUAUCCCAGAUUUCUUGACAUGCCAGCUUUGAUGGACAUUGAAUUUUCCAAGCUCACAGAUAGGAACGAAGACUUGUUUAUCCAGAAAAGGGAAGGGACGAUAAUUCCAGAACUCAAAGAAAUAGCAUCUUGGAGAAGAAUAUUGACAUCAGACUCUUACUGAAGAUGGCUGACAAUCAGCAUGAUGAUGAGCUGUUAAACUGUUAAAGAUCCUUAUUCAUCUUCUUCCACCCACUGCCUCUGGGAGAAGUGUUGCUGGGAGUAAAUGCUGUGUGACUUCUGCUGUGUCCUACCUGUUGGAGCAAGUGCCGGCUGGUACCACCGUUACAUCUUUGCUCACUGAAUCCAUGAAAGGGACCCUGAAGUCAGCUCAGCCGCAGUUGGUUUCUAUUGGUUGUCUAGGACAUGGAUCCUUGUACGUGUACGUGUACUUGUAGCUGUGGCAAAGAAUGACUCUUUUGCUCUUCCACUCGAUCCUGAAAGCCUGACCUGUGCUGUAGACAGACUUUUCAAAUUCUUCUGGCUGUGCAAUCUUCAGUAUCCAUGCCAACUGUCUUCUGUUUUUUUUUUUUGAGUAUAUAUAUAUAUAUAUAUAUAUGACUUGUCCUUGUCCCAGUCAUCUUGCACACGAUUAAAGGUCAUGGAAUUAAUUGCUAAGGUGCAGUCUUGUACCUAAUUGAAAUAAGCAUGUACACCUAUCCAAAGUGUCUUUAAAAUGAUUUUGUAAUUUGGCAUUUAAGGGAAAUGCAUGCACUCUCUGAUAGUCACAACCUAACUUUAAUUUGUUGUCAAAAUCGUUGCCCUAGAACAUAUCAUAAUUUAAAUUCCUUUUUAAAACAUCUCAACAGAUCAUUUUAAAAUUAAUUCAUGCCCUUCUGAAGAGUCAGGACACACAGGGAACAAGAGUUUUAAGAGUUAAGUAUUUUGAUGAACAUAUUUUUUUCUUCAGUGUCAUCAGAACAAAUCGUUUUCUCUUUGCUUUGCUGCCUGGGGACUUAAUAGAUUACAGACCUCUAGACAUUUUGUCAUUUUGUGAUCAGCAGUAUGUAUCUCCUAAAUACAAAAUAUUGUUUUAAACAUGUUAGUGAUUGAAACUUUGGUAACACUUUAUAAUAACUACACACUAUAAAUCAUUUAUUAAGCAUUAGCAAAUGGUGAAUUCAUUAAUUUGUAAAGCGUUAACUCUACAUUAUAAGACAUUAGCGGUUUACAAAUGCUGUAUUCUUGACUUAUAAGUAAAUGUUUAAUGUGCUUAAUAAUUGUACCUUCACACUUUGCUUCUGAUUAUUUUUUCACUACUAAAUUAAGGACUGCAUUAUUUACAAACCAUUUGAAUUUGAAAGUAUGAAUUAUAAAAGUACAAUUGUUAGGCACAUUAUAAAUGUGCUUAUAAGUCAAGAAAACAGCCUUUGUAGCUGUAUUUAGAAACCCAUUACUAAUGUCUUAUAAUGUAGAUUUAAUGCUUAACAAAUAGUGAAUCAACUACUGUACUUGCUAAUGCUUAAUAAAUAAUUUAUAUUGUGUCGUUACUAUAAAGGGUUACCUAAAUGUUUGAAGUGUUUUGACUAUAUUUGACAAUGAUUUAUUUUGUUAAGACAAGCACCUUACAUGUGGGUGAAUGUAUAAUCAGUGUGCUAUGGUUAUUAAUUUCUUUCACUAGAGAAUAAUUUUGAAAAUGGAUAUGUUUCAUACAUAUUUGACAUUUUAUUGGCAUGCGUAACAGAUACGAGUUCAAUUUAAUGAAUACUUUUAUAAAGUGAGUUUUUAUAUUAUGUACAAUGAAUUGCUGUAAAACAUUUGAAUGCAUUUGGGAAAAUUAAACAGUAUGUGAACAGUG